GUCCCUUGGGGGACAUCCAAUAAAAUUGAAACGAUACAGUCAUACAGAGAAGAUUAGUAUGCCCCUGCAUAAGGAUGACACGCACAAACAGAAAUGGUCCAAAUUUUU
rnacentral:snRNA from 1 species